rnacentral:sRNA from 1 species
UCUGAGACUUGGGCCAGGAGGAUCUCUAUCAGGGACCUCUCUGAGCUUCUAGGAAGCGAGUCUCCAGAAAACAGAGCUCCACGUGGAGGAUUUAACUGAGCGUGGAAGCAGCCAGCCAUUUCAGUGGAAGUCAGGAUCAGAAAUGCAG